rnacentral:rRNA from 1 species
UACGGAGGGAGCUAGCGUUGUUCGGAUAUACUGGGCGUAAAGCGCACGUAGGCGGCGCAGCAAGUCAGGGGUGAAAUCCCGGAGCUCAACUCCGGAACUGCCUUUGAAACUGCAGUGCUAGAAUCCUGGAGAGGCGAGUGGAAUUCCGAGUGUAGAGGUGAAAUCGUAGAUAUUCGGAAGAACACCAGUGGCGAAGGCGACUCGCUGGACAGGUAUUGACGCUGAGGCACGAAAGCGUGGGGAGCAAACAGG